AUUGAACGCUGGCGGCAGGCCUAACACAUGCAAGUCGAGCGGAUGAAGGGAGCUUGCUCCUGGAUUCAGCGGCGGACGGGUGAGUAAUGCCUAGGAAUCUGCCUGGUAGUGGGGGAUAACGUCCGGAAACGGGCGCUAAUACCGCAUACGUCCUGAGGGAGAAAGUGGGGGAUCUUCGGACCUCACGCUCUCAGAUGAGCCUAGGUCGGAUUAGCUAGUUGGGGGGGUAAAGGCCUACCAAGGCGACGAUCCGUAACUGGUCUGAGAGGAUGAUCAGUCACACUGGAACUGAGACACGGUCCAGACUCCUACGGGAGGCAGCAGUGGGGAAUAUUGGACAAUGGGCGAAAGCCUGAUCCAGCCAUGCCGCGUGUGUGAAGAAGGUCUUCGGAUUGUAAAGCACUUUAAGUUGGGAGGAAGGGCAGUAAGUUAAUACCUUGCUGUUUUGACGUUACCAACAGAAUAAGCACCGGCUAACUUCGUG
rnacentral:rRNA from 1 species